rnacentral:tRNA from 1 species
CAAAUUAUAGUUCUAUUAGAGAAUAUCUCAUUUACACUGAGAAGUUUUACUGUGCAAUUCAGUUUGAUUUGA